CUCUCCUCAGGUUCGCACCUGGAGAGUUUCCAGUACUCUACCAGUCUCGGCUAUUGGGAGGGAACGUCCAGCGGAGGCCUACCCAUGCCAUUCCUAGUUUUGGCAAUGACUAGUGAGUGGAAAGCAAUCUGCUACAAGU